GAAAUGCGAUACGUAAUGCGAAUUGCAGAAUCCAGUGAGUCAUCGAAACUUUGAACGCACCUUGCGCUUCCGGGUAACCGGGAGCAUGUCUGUUGGAGAGCCUGUUCUCAAGCACAACUCUCUUUCUGUCGAAGGAGAGCAGUGCCUGCUUUGUUUUCUUUUCCGAUUUCGGAAGGGGGAAAAACUGCCUUGAGAUGAAAGGCCUCUCGCAACCCCGCCCUGCCUGCCUGGGACACACACCGGGAAAAAUAAACCAAAACGGGUUGUGAAUGUCGUGAUUACUACUUUUGUUAUCACAUCAACACAUUCGCAUCAAAAAGCAGCCCGCUUUGUUUUGUUUAUUCUCCUCUGUUCCUUCAAAGGGUCGGGCGGAUUGUUGCGCCAAAAACAACCCCACAUCGGGCCUCCAAUCAGACAAGAAGACCCGCUGAAUUUAA
rnacentral:misc_RNA from 1 species